rnacentral:rRNA from 1 species
GACGAACGCUGGCGGCGUGCCUAAUACAUGCAAGUCGAGCGCAGGGAACUGACGGAACUCUUCGGAGGGAAGGCAGUGGAAUGAGCGGCGGACGGGUGAGUAACACGUAAGGAACCUGCCUCAAGGAUUGGGAUAACUCCGAGAAAUCGGAGCUAAUACCGGAUAGUUCAACGGACCGCAUGGUCCGUUGAUGAAAGGCGCUCCGGCGUCACCUUGAGAUGGCCUUGCGGUGCAUUAGCUAGUUGGUGGGGUAACGGCCCACCAAGGCGACGAUGAAUAGCCGACCUGAGAGGGUGAUCGGCCACACUGGGACUGAGACACGGCCCAGACUCCUACGGGAGGCAGCAGUAGGGAAUCUUCCACAAUGGACGAAAGUCUGAUGGAGCAACGCCGCGUGAGUGAUGAAGGUUUUCGGAUCGUAAAACUCCGUUGUAAGGGAAGAACACGUACGAGAGGAAAUGCUCGUACCUUGACGGUACCUUACGAGAAAGCCACGGCUAACUACGUGCCAGCAGCCGCCGUAAUAC